rnacentral:rRNA from 1 species
UACGUAGGUGGCGAGCGUUGUCCGGAUUUAUUGGGUUUAAAGGGUGCGUAGGCGGCCCCCUAAGUCAGUUGUGAAAUACCCCGGCUCAACCGAAGGGAUACGAUUGAUACUAAAAAACUUAAGUCACGGCAAGGCCAACGGAAUUGACGGUGUAGCGGUGAAAUGCUUAGAUAUCGUCAAGAACGCCGAUAGCGAGGGCAGCUGGCUAAAAGCGUACUGACGCUGAGGCACGAAAGUGCGGGGAUCAAACAGG